rnacentral:rRNA from 1 species
UACGUAGGGUCCAAGCGUUGUCCGGAUUUAUUGGGCGUAAAGAGCUCGUAGGCGGCUUAGUAAGUCGGAUGUGAAAACUCGGGGCUCAACCCCGAGACGCCAUCCGAUACUGCUGUGGCUUGAGUCUGGUAGGGGAACACGGAAUUCCUGGUGUAGCGGUGAAAUGCGCAGAUAUCAGGAAGAACACCCGUGGCGAAGGCGGCUCUCUGGUACGUGACUGACGCUGAGACGCGAAAGCGUGGGGAGUGAACAGG